ACGGGUGAGUAAUGUCUGGGAAACUGCCUGAUGGAGGGGGAUAACUACUGGAAACGGUAGCUAAUACCGCAUAACGUCGCAAGGCCAAAGAGGGGGACCUUCGGGCCUCUUGCCAUCAGAUGUGCCCAGAUGGGAUUAGCUAGUAGGUGGGGUAACGGCUCACCUAGGCGACGAUCCCUAGCUGGUCUGAGAGGAUGACCAGCCACACUGGAACUGAGACACGGUCCAGACUCCUACGGGAGGCAGCAUG
rnacentral:rRNA from 1 species